rnacentral:rRNA from 1 species
UACGUAGGGUGCGAGCGUUGUCCGGAAUUAUUGGGCGUAAAGAGCUCGUAGGCGGCCUGUCGCGUCGGAUGUGAAAGCCCGGGGCUUAACCCCGGGUCUGCAUUCGAUACGGGCAGGCUAGAGUUCGGUAGGGGAGAUCGGAAUUCCUGGUGUAGCGGUGAAAUGCGCAGAUAUCAGGAGGAACACCGGUGGCGAAGGCGGAUCUCUGGGCCGAUACUGACGCUGGGGAGCGAACGGG